rnacentral:rRNA from 1 species
GACGAACGCUGGCGGCGUGCCUAAUACAUGCAAGUCGAACGCACAGUUUAUACCGUUGCUUGCUACACGAUAGACUGUGAGUUGCGAAUGAGUGAGUAACGCGUAGGUAACCUGCCUGGUAGCGCGUGGUAACUCUUGGAAACGUUAGCUAAUACAUCAUAAUAUUCAUUAUUGCAUGAUAAUUAAUUGAAAUGUUCAAUUGCACCACUACCAGAUGGCCCUGCGUUGUAUUAGCUAGUAGGUGAGGUAACGGCUCACCUAGGCGACGGUACACAGGCGACCUGGGGGGGGGGUCGGCCAAACCGGGACUGGGAAACGGCCCAGAACCCUUCGGGGGGGAGCAGUAGGGAAACCUCGGGAAUGGAGGAAAGUCCGACCGGGGAACGCCGGGUGAGGGAAGAAGGUUUUCGGAUCGUAAAGACCUGUUGUAAGGGAAGAAAGGGUGGGGGAGUGGAAAGUUCACACUGUGACGGUACCUUACCAGAAAGCGACGGCUAACUACGUG